rnacentral:lncRNA from 1 species
GGUGGUUCUGAACCGUAAUGUGUGUGCGGGAAAACUGGCCUGGGGCACUCGAAUUAACUUGCACGUAAUCCGGUGAAUUUUCACAGACUGCACACAAGGACUAGACAGCAGAAGCUUAGAGAAACCCCAGGAAUCCCUUUGUGCUCUGUUCCAGCCUGUCCAAGGUUCUGACACCUCAUGGUACAUCUCCUGCUCAGCCAUCCUCAGAUGGAAGUCUGCUCCUCAUCUGUUCCUGCCCAAAAGCCUGUUCAAGUCUUGAGGAGCCGUCCUCGAUGCUGCUGGCGGAGCCUGAGUGAGACCCAGUGCCUCCGGGGUCAGGCCUGAAUCAGAGACACUGCAGCCCGGGACAGCCGCAUCAGUUACCUUGCCCUUCUGGAAAUGUGUAGGCGCGGUCCUCUUCUUGGGCAGUCUGGAAGUCUACCCCUCGGGCCUCGGCUCCUGUUCCAGAGGAGCAGAAACGCUCUUUGGUGAGUUGGGCGCGAUGGCCUUGCUGUCGUCACGGGGUAGGUGGGGCCUGGGGUGCAGAUAGCAGGCAAGGGGUGUGCAUGUGAGGGGUGGAGGGGAGAGGAGGAGGAGAGAGGCGGCCAAGGGAGAUUCGGGAGGAGAGAGGAAGGGGGGAGAAGGAAAAGGUGGCGUGAAGGUGGGGUGGCGUGGAAGGAAGGGGAAGGAAGGCGUGUGGGGCAGCGUUGAGGGAGGGCGAGUGUGACAGGAGUGCUGGUGGGCGGGUGGAGGCGGGGGUUGGGAGAGGAAGAACUUUUCCCACGGCCCGGGUUCCGUUUUGGGGGUUUCCUGGCCCUGGCCGGAAUCAGUCUUGGCCGCGUCCGUGAGAAGCGGCCUUGACUCCCGGCCUCUCUUCUCUGGGUGGUUCUGAACCGUAAUGUGUGUGCGGGAACACUGGCCUGGGGCACUCGAAUCAACUCGAGGUGAUCGUACUGCUG